AACGAACGCUGGCGGCAUGCCUAACACAUGCAAGUCGAACGAGACCUUCGGGUCUAGUGGCGCACGGGUGCGUAACGCGUGGGAACCUGCCCUUAGGUUCGGAAUAACUCCCCGAAAGGGGUGCUAAUACCGGAUAAUGUCUUCGGACCAAAGAUUUAUCGCCUUUGGAUGGGCCCGCGUUGGAUUAGCUAGUUGGUAGGGUAAAAGCCUACCAAGGCGACGAUCCAUAGCUGGUCUGAGAGGAUGAUCAGCCACACUGGGACUGAGACACGGCCCAGACUCCUACGGGAGGAAGCAGUGGGGAAUAUUGGACGAUGGGCGAGAGCCUGUGCCAGCCGUGCCGCGUGAGUCAUGAAGGCGUUAGGGUUGUAAAGCUCUUUUACCCGGGAUGAUAAUGACAGUACCGGGAGAAUAAGCUCCGGCUAACUCCGUG
rnacentral:rRNA from 1 species